GACGAACGCUGGCGGCGUGCUUAACACAUGCAAGUCGAACGGAAAGGCCCUGCUUUUGUGGGGUGCUCGAGUGGCGAACGGGUGAGUAACACGUGAGUAACCUGCCCUUGACUUUGGGAUAACUUCAGGAAACUGGGGCUAAUACCGGAUAGGAGCUCCUGCUGCAUGGUGGGGGUUGGAAAGUUUCGGCGGUUGGGGAUGGACUCGCGGCUUAUCAGCUUGUUGGUGGGGUAGUGGCUUACCAAGGCUUUGACGGGUAGCCGGCCUGAGAGGGUGACCGGCCACAUUGGGACUGAGAUACGGCCCAGACUCCUACGGGAGGCAGCAGUGGGGAAUAUUGCACAAUGGGCGGAAGCCUGAUGCAGCAACGCCGCGUGCGGGAUGACGGCCUUCGGGUUGUAAACCGCUUUCGCCUGUGACGAAGCGUGAGUGACGGUAAUGGGUAAAGAAGCACCGGCUAACUACGUGCCAGCAGCCGCGGUGAUACGUAGGGUGCGAGCGUUGUCCGGAUUUAUUGGGCGUAAAGGGCUCGUAGGUGGUUGAUCGCGUCGGAAGUGUAAUCUUGGGGCUUAACCCUGAGCGUGCUUUCGAUACGGGUUGACUUGAGGAAGGUAGGGGAGAAUGGAAUUCCUGGUGGAGCGGUGGAAUGCGCAGAUAUCAGGAGGAACACCAGUGGCGAAGGCGGUUCUCUGGGCCUUUCCUGACGCUGAGGAGCGAAGGCGUGGGGAGCGAACAGGCUUAGAUACCCUGGUAGUCCACGCUGUAAACGGUGGGUACUAGGUGUGGGGUCCAUUCCACGGGUUCCGUGCCGUAGCUAACGCUUUAAGUACCCCGCCUGGGGAGUACGGCCGCAAGGCUAAAACUCAAAGGAAUUGACGGGGCCCCGCACAAGCGGCGGAGCAUGCGGAUUAAUUCGAUGCAACGCGUAGAACCUUACCUGGGUUUGACAUGGAUCGGGAGUGCUCAGAGAUGGGUGUGCCUCUUUUGGGGUCGGUUCACAGGUGGUGCGUGGCUGUCGUCAGCUCGUGUCGUGAGAUGUUGGGUUAAGUCCCGCAACGAGCGCAACCCUUGUUCACUGUUGCCAGCACGUUAUGGUGGGGACUCAGUGGAGACCGCCGGGGUCAACUCGGAGGAAGGUGGGGAUGACGUCAAGUCAUCAUGCCCCUUAUGUCCAGGGCUUCACGCAUGCUACAAUGGCUGGUACAGAGAGUGGCGAGCCUGUGAGGGUGAGCGAAUCUCGGAAAGCCGGUCUCAGUUCGGAUUGGGGUCUGCAACUCGACCUCAUGAAGUCGGAGUCGCUAGUAAUCGCAGAUCAGCAACGCUGCGGUGAAUACGUUCCCGGGGCU
rnacentral:rRNA from 1 species